UGGAGGACUGAGACGGUGAGGCAGCUCUUCUGUACCAUGCUGCCGUCCACUGGUUAAGGCCUCUGAAAGUGAAGGGUCGCCAGGGCAGAGGAUGCCACCUUCAGAGGGGCAGUCCUGUGCUGGCCGACACUGA
rnacentral:snoRNA from 1 species